rnacentral:rRNA from 1 species
CCUACGGAGAGCAGCAGUGGGGAAUAUUGGGCACUGGGCGCAAGCCUGACCCAGCAACGCCGCGUGAAGGAAGAAGGCUUUCGGGUUGUAAACUUCUUGUGUCAGGGAAGAGUAGAAGACGGUACCUGACGAAUAAGCCACGGCUAACUACGUGCCAGCAGCCGCGGUAAUACGUAGGUGGCAAGCGUUGUCCGGAUUUACUGGGUGUAAAGGGCGUGUAGCCGGGUUGACAAGUCAGAUGUGAAAUCCUGCGGCUUAACCGCAGAACUGCAUUUGAAACUGUUGAUCUUGAGUACUGGAGAGGCAGAUGGAAUGCCUAGGGUAGCGGUGAAAUGCGUAGAUAUUAGGAGGAACACCAGUGGCGAAGGCGGUCUGCUGGACAGCAACUGACGGGGAGGCGCGAAAGCGUGGGGAGCAAACAGGAUUAGAUACCCGUGUAGUC